rnacentral:rRNA from 1 species
AUUGAACGCUGGCGGCAUGCCUUACACAUGCAAGUCGAACGGCAGCGGACCUUCGGGUGCCGGCGAGUGGCGAACGGGUGAGUAAUAUAUCGGAACGUGCCUUACAGUGGGGGAUAACGUAGCGAAAGUUACGCUAAUACCGCAUAUUCCCUGAGGUAGAAAGCAGGGGACCUUCGGGCCUUGCGCUGAUAGAGCGGGCGAAAUCAGGUUAGGUAGUUGGUGGGGCAAAGGCCAACCAACGCGACAAUCUGCAGCGGGUCUGGAAGGAUGAUCCGCCACACUGGGACUGGGACCCGGCCCGGCCUCCUACGGGGGGCAGCAGUGGGGAAUUUUGGACAAUGGGCGAAAGCCUGAUCCAGCCAUGCCGCGUGAGUGAAGAAGGCCUUCGGGUUGUAAAGCUCUUUCGGCCGGGAAGAAAUCGCACAGGCUAUUACCUUGUGUGGAUGACGGUACCGGAAUAAGAAGCACCGGCUAACUACGUGCCAGCCGCCGCCGUAA